UGCCAGACUCCUACGGGAGGCAGCAGUGGGGGAUAUUGCACAAUGGGGGGAACCCUGAUGCAGCGACGCCGCGUGGGUGAAGGAGUGCUUCGGCAUGUAAAGCCCUAUCGGCAGGGAAGAAGCAAGACGGUACCUGACUAAGAAGCCCCGGCUAACUACGUGCCAGCAGCCGCGGUAAUACGUAGGGGGCGAGCGUUAUCCGGAUUCACUGGGUGGAAAGGGAGCGUAGACGGCCAUGCAAGCCAGGGGUGAAAGCCCGGGGCCCAACCCCGGGACUGCCCUUGGAACUGCAUGGCUGGAGUGCGGGAGGGGCAGGCGGAAUUCCUGGUGUAGCGGUGAAAUGCGUAGAUAUACGGAGGAACACCAGUGGCGAAGGCGGAUUGCUGGACAGUAACUGACGCUGAGGCGCGAAAGCGUGGGGAGCAAACAGGAUUAGAUACCCCCGUAC
rnacentral:rRNA from 1 species